AACGCACGAGACCUGCGGACCUGCGGAGGGAUCAUUAAUGAGAAACUGCCCCUCGCGGGUAGAUCUCCCACCCUUUGUAAACUUACCUUUGUUGCUUUGGCAGGCCCGUCUCCGGACCGCCGGCUUCGGCUGGCCAGUGCCUGCCAGAGGAUUCUAAAACUCUGUCUGUCAGUGUUGUCUGAGUCUAUAUACAAUCGUUAAAACUUUUAGCAAUGGAUCUCUAGAUCGGAAGAGCACACG
rnacentral:misc_RNA from 1 species